GACGAACGCUGGCGGCGUGCUUAACACAUGCAAGUCGAGCGAUGAAGUUCCUUCGGGAACGGAUUAGCGGCGGACGGGUGAGUAACACGUGGGUAACCUGUCUCAUAGAGGGGAAUAGCCUUUCGAAAGGAAGAUUAAUACCGCAUAAGAUUGUAGCUUCGCAUGGAGUAGCAAUUAAAGGAGUAAUCCGCUAUGAGAUGGACCCGCGUCGCAUUAGCUAGUUGGUGAGGUAACGGCUCACCAAGGCGACGAUGCGUAGCCGACCUGAGGGGGUGAUCGGCCACAUUGGGACUGAGACACGGCCCAGACUCCUACGGGAGGCAGCAGUGGGGAAUAUUGCACAAUGGGGGAAACCCUGAUGCAGCAACGCCGCGUGAGUGAUGACGGUCUUCGGAUUGUAGAACUCUGUCUUCAGGGACGAUAAUGACGGUACCUGAGGAGGAAGCCACGGCUAACUACGUGCCAGCAGCCGCAGUAA
rnacentral:rRNA from 1 species